rnacentral:rRNA from 1 species
GAUGAACGCUAGCGACAGGCUUAACACAUGCAAGUCGAGGGGUAACAGGGUAGCAAUACCGCUGACGACCGGCGCACGGGUGAGUAACGCGUAUGCAACCUGCCUAUAACUGGGGAAUAGCUCCCUGAAAGGGGAAUUAACACCGCAUAACACUAUUGAUUCGCAUGGAUUAGUAGUUAAAUGUAGCGAUACAGGUUAUAGAUGGGCAUGCGUGACAUUAGCUAGUUGGUGAGGUAACGGCUCACCAAGGCUACGAUGUCUAGGGGUUCUGAGAGGAAGGUCCCCCACACUGGUACUGAGACACGGACCAGACUCCUACGGGAGGCAGCAGUGAGGAAUAUUGGUCAAUGGGCGCAAGCCUGAACCAGCCAUGUCGCGUGCAGGAAGACUGCCCUAUGGGUUGUAAACUGCUUUUAUAGUAGAAGAAACACAUCUACGCGUAGAUGUCUGCCAGUAUACUAUGAAUAAGC